ACUGCAGGCUGCGCUAUCGUCCUUAUUCAUUUAGGGAAGGAAAGUCCGGACAGCAAAGAGUAUCGCACCGGUUAACAGCCGGCUUUCUGCAAAAACAGAAAAGAGAAAGUGCCACAGAAAAUAACCAUCAGCCUACCGGCUGAUAAGGGUGAAAAUGUGAGGUAAGAGCUCACGUUUGUUAUUGGUAACAAUAGCAAAGGGUAAACCUUGUGAGCUGAAAUGCCAUGUAUAGGACCGCCUGAGAAC
rnacentral:RNase_P_RNA from 1 species